rnacentral:rRNA from 1 species
GACGAACGCUUUUGGCGUGCUUAACACAUGCAAGUCGAACGGAAAGGCCCUGCUUUUGUGGGGUGCUCGAGUGGCGAACGGGUGAGUAACACGUGAGUAACCUGCCCUUGACUUUGGGAUAACUUCAGGAAACUGGGGCUAAUACCGGAUAGGAGCUCCUGCUGCAUGGUGGGGGUUGGAAAGUUUCGGCGGUUGGGGAUGGACUCGCGGCUUAUCAGCUUGUUGGUGGGGUAGUGGCUUACCAAGGCUUUGACGGGUAGCCGGCCUGAGAGGGUGACCGGCCACAUUGGGACUGAGAUACGGCCCAGACUCCUACGGGAGGCAGCAGUGGGGAAUAUUGCACAAUGGGCGGAAGCCUGAUGCAGCAACGCCGCGUGCGGGAUGACGGCCUUCGGGUUGUAAACCGCUUUCGCCUGUGACGAAGCGUGAGUGACGGUAAUGGGUAAAGAAGCACCGGCUAACUACGUGCCAGCAGCCGCGGUGAUACGUAGGGUGCGAGCGUUGUCCGGAUUUAUUGGGCGUAAAGGGCUCGUAGGUGGUUGAUCGCGUCGGAAGUGUAAUCUUGGGGCUUAACCCUGAGCGUGCUUUCGAUACGGGUUGACUUGAGGAAGGUAGGGGAGAAUGGAAUUCCUGGUGGAGCGGUGGAAUGCGCAGAUAUCAGGAGGAACACCAGUGGCGAAGGCGGUUCUCUGGGCCUUUCCUGACGCUGAGGAGCGAAAGCGUGGGGAGCGAACAGGCUUAGAUACCCUGGUAGUCCACGCUGUAAACGGUAGGUACUAGGUGUGGGGUCCAUUCCACGGGUUCCGUGCCGUAGCUAACGCUUUAAGUACCCCGCCUGGGGAGUACGGCCGCAAGGCUAAAACUCAAAGGAAUUGACGGGGCCCCGCACAAGCGGCGGAGCAUGCGGAUUAAUUCGAUGCAACGCGUAGAACCUUACCUGGGUUUGACAUGGAUCGGGAGUGCUCAGAGAUGGGUGUGCCUCUUUUGGGGUCGGUUCACAGGUGGUGCAUGGCUGUCGUCAGCUCGUGUCGUGAGAUGUUGGGUUAAGUCCCGCAACGAGCGCAACCCUUGUUCACUGUUGCCAGCACGUUAUGGUGGGGACUCAGUGGAGACCGCCGGGGUCAACUCGGAGGAAGGUGGGGAUGACGUCAAGUCAUCAUGCCCCUUAUGUCCAGGGCUUCACGCAUGCUACAAUGGCUGGUACAGAGAGUGGCGAGCCUGUGAGGGUGAGCGAAUCUCGGAAAGCCGGUCUCAGUUCGGAUUGGGGUCUGCAACUCGACCUCAUGAAGUCGGAGUCGCUAGUAAUCGCAGAUCAGCAACGCUGCGGUGAAUACGUUCCCGGGGCUUGUACACACCGCCCGUCAAGUCAUGAAAGUUGGUAACACCCGAAGCCGGUGGCCUAACCGUUGUGGGGGAGCCGUCGAAGGUGGGACUGGUGAUUAGGACUAAAUC